rnacentral:rRNA from 1 species
UGAGUAACCUGCCCUUAACUCUGGGAUAAGCCUGGGAAACUGGGUCUAAUACCGGAUAUGACUCCUCAUCGCAUGGUGGGGGGUGGAAAGCUUUUUGUGUUUUUGGAUGGACUCGCGGCCUAUCAGCUUGUUGGUGAGGUAAUGGCUCACCAAGGCGACGACGGGUAGCCGGCCUGAGAGGGCGAUCGGCCACACUGGGACUGAGACACGGUCCAGACUCCUACGGGAGCAG